rnacentral:rRNA from 1 species
UACGGAGGAUCCGAGCGUUAUCCGGAUUUAUUGGGUUUAAAGGGAGCGUAGGCGGGAGGUCAAGUCAGCUGUGAAAUGUAUCUGCUUAACGGGUACACUGCAGUUGAAACUGGUUUUCUUGAGUGCGUAAGAGGCAGGCGGAAUUCGUUGUGUAGCGGUGAAAUGCUUAGAUAUGACGAGGAACUCCUAUUGCGAAGGCAGCUUGCUGGGUCGUUACUGACGCUGAUGCUCGAAGGUGCGGGGAUCAAACAGGAUUAGAUACCCCGUA